AACAAGGUUUCCGUAGGUGAACCUGCGGAAGGAUCAUUACCGAGUGUAGGGUUCCUAGCGAGCCCAACCUCCCACCCGUGUUUACUGUACCUUAGUUGCUUCGGCGGGCCCGCCAUUCAUGGCCGCCGGGGGCUCUCAGCCCCGGGCCCGCGCCCGCCGGAGACACCACGAACUCUGUCUGAUCUAGUGAAGUCUGAGUUGAUUGUAUCGCAAUCAGUUAAAACUUUCAACAAUGGAUCUCUUGGUUCCGGCAUCGAUGAAGAACGCAGCGAAAUGCGAUAACUAGUGUGAAUUGCAGAAUUCCGUGAAUCAUCGAGUCUUUGAACGCACAUUGCGCCCCCUGGUAUUCCGGGGGGCAUGCCUGUCCGAGCGUCAUUGCUGCCCAUCAAGCACGGCUUGUGUGUUGGGUCGUCGUCCCCUCUCCGGGGGGGACGGGCCCCAAAGGCAGCGGCGGCACCGCGUCCGAUCCUCGAGCGUAUGGGGCUUUGUCACCCGCUCUGUAGGCCCGGCCGGCGCUUGCCGAACGCAAAUCAAUCUUUUCCAGGUUGACCUCGGAUCAGGUAGGGA
rnacentral:rRNA from 1 species